GACGAACGCUGGCGGCGUGCCUAAUACAUGCAAGUAGAACGCUGAAGAGAGGAGCUUACUCUUCUUGGAUGAGUUGCGAACGGGUGAGUAACGCGUAGGUAACCUGCCUUGUAGCGGGGGAUAACUAUUGGAAACGAUAGCUAAUACCGCAUAACAAUGGAUGACACAUGUCAUUUAUUUGAAAGGGGCAAUUGCUCCACUACAAGAUGGACCUGCGUUGUAUUAGCUAGUAGGUGAGGUAAUGGCUCACCUAGGCGACGAUACAUAGCCGACCUGAGAGGGUGAGCGGCCAGACUGGGACUGAGACACGGCCCAGACUCCUACGGGAGGCAGCAGUAGGGAAUCUUCGGCAAUGGGGGCAACCCUGACCGAGCAACGCCGCGUGAGUGAAGAAGGUUUUCGGAUCGUAAAGCUCGGUUGUAAGUCAAGAACGGGUGUGAGAGUGGAAAGUUCACACUGUGACGGUAGCUUACCAGAAAGGGACGGCUAACUACGUG
rnacentral:rRNA from 1 species